UACGUAGGUGGCAAGCGUUGUCCGGAUUUACUGGGCGUAAAGAGCGCGCAGGCGGUCGUUCAAGUCGCGUGUGAAAGCCCCCGGCUCAACUGGGGAGGGUCACGCGAUACUGAUCGACUGGAAGGCAGGAGAGGGUAGUGGAAUUCCCGGUGUAGUGGUGAAAUGCGUAGAUAUCGGAGGAACACCAGUGGCGAAGGCGACUACCUGGCCUGUUCUUGACGCUGAGGCGCGAAAGCUAGGGGAGCAAACGGGG
rnacentral:rRNA from 1 species